GUCAGCAGUUCUCUGCGAUAGAAAAUCUUAAUUGUUGUUACAUGUUUGAUACUGAGGCUGGAUGAUGAAACUUGGUUAAGUGUUUAUUGAAGGAUGCAUUGCAAAGACACACCUAACAGAUGAGAGAAUGUUUUAAAAACCAACCAAUCAGGUUUCCAGUAAGACCGGAUUUGUAUUUUCCUAGGCCGAUCCAAGUACGUUUCCAGUACUUUGAAAUUUUAAUUUCGAUCAGAUAAACUUAAACGAUAUUCCUAUGAAUCCUGGCAGGAUCUCUCCCAUGCGAUUGAAAAUUCCACGUUGUGCAGCCUUAUGCUAAUAGUCUCAUUAUAUUUGGUCGUGGUGUGUCCGCUACGGAUCCAAAUGUGAAACUAAAACCCAAUAUCUAAUCUAUAACACAAUCCGGUUUAAUAAAAAUCUUCAUAACCAGCCAGGGA